CAUUAUCCUCCCCACUGUUUUUUUAUGAUUCACAUAACAGAACACCCAUUUGGAUUCUCAUCACUAAACAACUCAGGCGCACGCAUGUGACCAUAAGGAUCUGCGUAACCUUGGUGGUUCAUAUAAGGUGGCGGUGGUGCUUCUUGUCCAUACCCUUGACCGUAACCUUGGUUUGCAUACGAUUCGUGUACGUAUCCUUGGUUCGUAUACGGUUCUUGUACAUACGAUUGAGACGAUUGGCCUUG